GACGAACGCUGGCGGCGUGCUUAACACAUGCAAGUCGAACGGAAAGGCCCUGCUUUUGUGGGGUGCUCGAGUGGCGAACGGGUGAGUAAAACGUGAGUAACCUGCACUUGACUUUGGGAUAACUUCAGGAAACUGGGGCUAAUACCGGAUAGGAGCUCCUGCUGCAUGGUGGGGGUUGGAAAGUUUCGGCGGUUGGGGAUGGACUCGCGGCUUAUGAGCUUGUUGGUGGGGUAGUGGCUUACCAAGGCUUUGACGGGUAGCCGGCCUGAGAGGGUGACCGGCCACAUUGGGACUGAGGUACGGCCCAGACUCCUACGGGAGGCAGCAGUGGGGAAUAUUGCACAAUGGGCGGAAGCCUGAUGCAGCAGCGCCGCGUGCGGGAUGACGGCCUUCGGGUUGUAAACCUCUUUCGCCGGUGACGAAGCGUGAGUGACGGUAAUGGGUAAAGAAGCACCGGCUAACUACGUG
rnacentral:rRNA from 1 species